rnacentral:rRNA from 1 species
AGUUAGUGGCAGACGGGUGAGUAAUGCAUAGGAAUCUACCUAGUAGUAUAGGAUAGCCACUAGAAGUGGUGGGUAAUACUGUAUAUUCCCUGCGGGGGAAAGAUUUAUCGCUACAUGAUGAGCCUAUGUUAGAUUAGCUAGUUGGUGGGGUAAUGGCCUACCAAGGCAGUGAUCUAUAGCUGGUCUGAGAGGAUGAUCAGCCACACUGGAACUGAGACACGGUCCAGACUCCUACGGGAGGCAGCAGUGGGGAAUAUUGGACAAUGGGCGCAAGCCUGAUCCAGCUAUGCCGCGUGAGUGAGGAAGGCCUUAGGGUUGUAAAACUCUUUCAGUGGGGAAGAUAAUGACGGUACCCACAGAAGAAGUCCCGGCAAACUCCGUGCCAGCAGCCGCGGUAAUACGGAGGGGGCAAGCGUUGUUCGGAAUUAUUGGGCGUAAAGGGCAUGUAGGUGGUUUGGUAAGUUAAAGGUGAAAUGCCAGGGCUUAACCCUGGAGCUGCUUUUAAUACUGC